rnacentral:rRNA from 2 species
GAAGGCUGAGUCGUGAUGGCGAGGGAAAUUUAGUACCGAAGUCCUUGAUUCUACGCUGCCAAGAAAAGCCUCUAGUGAGGAAAGAGGUGCCCGUACCGCAAACCGACACAGGUAGGCGAGGAGAGAAUCCUAAGACGAUCGGGAGAACUCUCGUUAAGGAACUCGGCAAAAUGACCCCGUAACUUCGGGAGAAGGGGUGCUUCCUCGGGUGAAUAGCCCAGGGGAGCCGCAGUGAAAAGAUCCAAGCGACUGUUUAGCAAAAACACAGGUCUCUGCAAAGCCGUAAGGCGAAGUAUAGGGGCUGACACCUGCCCGGUGCUGGAAGGUUAAGAGGAGGGGUUAUCCCUUACGGGAGAAGCUCUGAAUCGAAGCCCCAGUAAACGGCGGCCGUAACUAUAACGGUCCUAAGGUAGCGAAAUUCCUUGUCGGGUAAGUUCCGACCCGCACGAAAGGUGCAACGACUUGGAUACUGUCUCAACGAGAGACCCGGUGAAAUUAUAGUACCUGUGAAGAUGCAGGUUACCCGCGACAGGACGGAAAGACCCCAUGGAGCUUUACUGUAGCCUGAUAUUGGAUUUUGGUACAGCUUGUACAGGAUAGGUAGGAGCCAUAGAAGUCGGACCGCCAGGUUCGAUGGAGGCGUCGGUGGGAUACUACCCUGGCUGUACUGACAUUCUAACCCAGCACCGUGAUCCGGUGCGGAGACAGUGUCAGGUGGGCAGUUUGACUGGGGCGGUCGCCUCCUAAAGUGUAACGGAGGCGCCCAAAGGUUCCCUCAGAAUGGUUGGAAAUCAUUCGCAGAGUGUAAAGGCACAAGGGAGCUUGACUGCGAGACCUACAAGUCGAGCAGGGACGAAAGUCGGGCUUAGUGAUCCGGUGGUUCCGCAUGGAAGGGCCAUCGCUCAACGGAUAAAAGCUACCCUGGGGAUAACAGGCUUAUCUCCCCCAAGAGUCCACAUCGACGGGGAGGUUUGGCACCUCGAUGUCGGCUCAUCGCAUCCUGGGGCUGAAGUAGGUCCCAAGGGUUGGGCUGUUCGCCCAUUAAAGCGGUACGCGAGCUGGGUUCAGAACGUCGUGAGACAGUUCGGUCCCUAUCCGUCGCGGGCGCAGGAAAUUUGAGAGGAGCUGUCCUUAGUACGAGAGGACCGGGAUGGACACACCGCUGGUGUACCAGUUGUUCCGCCAGGAGCAUAGCUGGGUAGCUACGUGUGGAAGGGAUAAGUGCUGAAAGCAUCUAAGCAUGAAGCCCCCCUCGAGAUGAGAUUUCCCACAGCAUUAAGCUGGUAAGAUCCCUUAGAGAUGAUGAGGUAGAUAGGUUCGGGGUGGAAGCGUGGCAACACGUGCAGCUGACGAAUACUAAUCGAUCGAGGGCUUAACCUAAA